rnacentral:RNase_P_RNA from 1 species
AUAUCCGAACGGGAAGCCGCCGCAGUCGCUGUGCCGCGAAGGCGGAGGAACUUCCGGACUCUCAGGGCAGAGCGCCGCGCGAAAGCGCGGGAGGGCGGGGCAAUAUCCCCGUUCGACGGAAAGUGCAACAGAAAAUAUACCGCCCCGCCAUAGCGCGAGCGAAGGUAGGGUAAGGGUGAAAUGGCGGAGCAAGAGCCCGCCGCGCGUUUGGCAACAAACGCGGCAAGGCAAACCCCGCUUUGAGCAAGGCCAAAUAUGCCGACGUACUGCCCGUACGCUAAGGCAAAGUAGGCCGCAUAGAUAAAUGGCUUCCGCGCGCGGACUUGUGUUCGCGCGUACAGAAUCCGGGGUAUAAUUCGGAAAAUUAU